rnacentral:tRNA from 1 species
GCGGGCGUGGCGGAAGCGGCAGACGCGCCGGGUUUAGGUCCCGGUCCCGAAAGGGAUGGGAGUUCGAGUCUCCCCGCCCGCA